ensembl:lncRNA
UGAUUCUUCUGAAGCGCAUGUCAGAGAGGAGGAGGAGGGAGGGAAUGAACCAGGAAGAGAGAGACAGAGAGAGAGAGAGAGAGAAGGCAGCCUCCGGUUGACAGUACAUGGAGGUCUGCAGGAUCUCCAGGACCAGGAACCAUCCCUGGCUGCUGCGCCUGGUGUGUGUUCUGCCUCCUGCUAUCACAAGGGGGCUUUCAUCACCACUGAAUGGUAUGCUGUCCUGAUGUCUCUCUCAAAGCCAGGAGGACUGACGUGGCGUCAGAGAUUCCCCCUGGAUCAGCCCCUGAGAGCUGUAGGAUCCACCCAGGAGGAUGCAGGGCCUCAGGAGGGCCUCAGGAGGAACCGCUCUAGCCAGCUCUGACUUCUGGUGG